rnacentral:rRNA from 1 species
GAGUUUGAUCCUGGCUCAGGACGAACGCUGGCGGCGUGCUUAACACAUGCAAGUCGAACGGUGAAGCCCUUCGGGGUGGAUCAGUGGCGAACGGGUGAGUAACACGUGAGCAAUCUGCCCCCGACUCUGGGAUAACUUCGGGAAACCGGAGCUAAUACCGGAUAUGACACACGAUCGCAUGGUCUGUGUGUGGAAAGAUUUAUCGGUUGGGGAUGAGCUCGCGGCCUAUCAGCUUGUUGGUGGGGUAAAGGCCUACCAAGGCGACGACGGGUAGCCGGCCUGAGAGGGCGACCGGCCACACUGGGACUGAGACACGGCCCAGACUCCUACGGGAGGCAGCAGUGGGGAAUAUUGCGCAAUGGGCGAAAGCCUGACGCAGCGACGCCGCGUGAGGGAUGAAGGCCUUCGGGUCGUAAACCUCUUUCAGCAGGGAAGAAGCGAAAGUGACGGUACCUGCAGAAGAAGCACCGGCUAACUACGUGCCAGCAGCCGCGGUAAUACGUAGGGUGCAAGCGUUGUCCGGAAUUAUUGGGCGUAAAGAGCUCGUAGGCGGUCUGUCGCGUCUGGUGUGAAAACUCAGGGCUUAACCCUGAGCUUGCAUCGGGUACGGGCAGACUAGAGUGUGCUAGGGGAGACUGGAAUUCCUGGUGUAGCGGUGAAAUGCGCAGAUAUCAGGAGGAACACCGGUGGCGAAGGCGGGUCUCUGGGGCAUAACUGACGCUGAGGAGCGAAAGCAUGGGGAGCGAACAGGAUUAGAUACCCUGGUAGUCCAUGCCGUAAACGUUGGGCGCUAGGUGUGGGGCUCAUUCCACGAGUUCCGUGCCGCAGCAAACGCAUUAAGCGCCCCGCCUGGGGAGUACGGCCGCAAGGCUAAAACUCAAAGGAAUUGACGGGGGCCCGCACAAGCGGCGGAGCAUGCGGAUUAAUUCGAUGCAACGCGAAGAACCUUACCAAGGCUUGACAUGGGGUGAAAACUCGCAGAGAUGCGGGGUCCGCAAGGGCGCCUCACAGGUGGUGCAUGGUUGUCGUCAGCUCGUGUCGUGAGAUGUUGGGUUAAGUCCCGCAACGAGCGCAACCCUCGUUCUAUGUUGCCAGCACGUUAUGGUGGGGACUCAUAGGAGACUGCCGGGGUCAACUCGGAGGAAGGUGGGGAUGACGUCAAGUCCUCAUGCCCCUUAUGUCUUGGGCUGCAAACAUGCUACAAUGGCCAGUACAAAGGGUUGCGAGACCGCAAGGUGGAGCGAAUCCCAAAAACCGGUCCCAGUUCGGAUCGCAGGCUGCAACUCGCCUGCGUGAAGCCGGAAUCGCUAGUAACCGUCGGUCAGCCACACGACGGUGAAUACGUUCCCGGGCCUUGCACACAC